GGAACACUGGAAGUGCUGCGGGAGAGGGAAGGAGGAGGAGGAGGAGGAGGAGGAGGUGAAAUUGUGAAACAGCUUUCCAGGAUAGAGUUACAUUGCUCAGCAUUUAGAAAAAGACACGAAGGAAAAAUGUCGAGCUGAAUUUUCCUCCUUUUUCCGCCUCUUCAACUGCUUCUCAAACAGCGGGAGACCUCAACAAUAAGGACUAUAAUGCUCCAGCUUGGAACCCUGUUUACUCAGCUUCAUCUCAGCCCCAAAGCUUCACAAAGUGCCCAUGUCAAGAGCACAACGCAGAUAUCUGCGCUGCCUGACUUUUUAAAGCAUGUCUCGAAACUCAGUGGGCUGCGAAAGGAAGAUAUUCACUGCAAUCUCCGCAUCCCAGACCAGUUUCAGACAACCAAAAAUGACAUCAACAUUGUUAUCCUCACAGGUCAGGGGAUCUUCUGUUUGGAUGUGAAACAAUGGAGAGGCAAUGUAUCUGCCCACAACCAAAACUGGCAUGUACAAGUGAAAGAAGAGGACCAAAACUUUACCAAUACCUGCAUUGAGCAGAUUGAAGAUCCCCUCAAAGCUAUCACGACCAAGACGGCCAAGUUAUGCAGCCAUUUGAAGAGGAGCGGAGUGUCUGUAUGUCAAAGUCUCUUCUUCCCCAGGGUCAUCUUCCUCUCUCCAGACUGUGAGCUGGAUGAGGAGCUGAGGAAGAGGAGGGAGCUGGUCUCCCAUUGCCAGAUAGAUGACUUCCUUAGAUCUUUGAAGGAAGGAUACAUGGCCUGGAUAUCAGAUGCCCUGAUGCCCUCCUGGAUCUCUGGUCAUCUGUCGUACAGGCAGAUGGAGUCAGUGCGGGAGGUUCUGAGGAGGGUGGGAACUUGGGAUCUGGUGCGGCUGCACAGUGGCGAGCAGCUGAAAGGAGACUACCAGUGCUGCCAGUACAUCGCUCUCAACCGCCAGGAGACAGACACACUCGAAUUUUCCAGAGUCAAGACCCUAUCCACUGAUUCGCUGUGGGCCCUGCUGGGACACGCUCCUCAGGUAGAAGAUAAGAAAACCAGUGUGGAUCGCUAUCAACUAUUUGCAGGGAGAUGUUUCUUUUUGGAGGAGAAUGAGCUGUCAUCUUGAGUUUAACAG
rnacentral:lncRNA from 1 species